GUGAGUCACGACGAGCAUCUGAUUUCGGGAAGCGUGGAUGAGCUGUGGGUUGUGUCAGACGGCAGGAUUGCACCAUUCCAUGGAACCUUCCAUGACUACAAGAAACUUCUCCAAUCUUCUUCUUAAGUUUUUUCUCUCUAAACCUCAGUUUCAUUCCUUGCUGGCCUUUUUCUCGUGUGGAUUUUGUUGAAAAUCAAAAAAUUGAAUUUUGAAAUCAGUUUAUACUUUAAAAGGAAAUUAUUAAUAGUAUCCAAAAACCUAAUAAUAAUGUGUGUUUAUGCUGUCUUCAAUUCUCCAGUUCUCGUAUAGAAUUCUUAGACUUAUUGUUUACUUUCUGAAUUCAUAUUGUGGAAUACAAAACUAUAAUACAGAGCAAUUGAAAUGCAUAAUCAAAAUAUACCUUUAGGUAAAUUUAUAGUAAUGUUUUCUAGUUAUAUUUUGUCUACUAACAAAUUAUUAAAAUUAUUAUUUUCUUUAUUGUAAAUGACUGGCAAAUUGAAUUUUAACGUAAUUUUAAAACAGUGGUUAAACACUUAAACGGGAUUAAAAAAAUAUGUCAAUUAAAGAAAACAAAUAUAAAUUGGACACAAUGCAUUUUCUAUUGAAAUCAUUCAAUUGAACGGGAUUACGAAGAUGGGCCAAUGGGCCUGUUUCAGGCUUAUUUCGUUAGUUAGUGUUUUUUUUUUCCUUUUGUGUGCAACCGCCAGUUGGCGUCUAAGCGUUUCUAUCAAAACGUUUCACAAUAAAACGUUUUGAUAGAAACGAUUGAACAACAAACAUUUUAAUUUUAUGCUUUUCUUUCUCUCUAUCUCUCUUUCCUCCCUUUCUUUUCGGAUUCUUCGUUUCGAUUGGUUUGGUGUCAAAGUAAAUUAAAUUGAUAAAGCCUCGAAUCGAAACUUGUUCUUUCGAUAGCGGAACCAACCCUAAUUCAUGGAUCGAUUAGAAGAAACCCUAAUUUCAGAAGAGGAGGAGGAGGAAGAAGAAGAUGUCGAUUUCAAUCCUCUUCUAAAAGAAACCCCUUCCCGUGAAGCUUCUUCCAGUUUGAGCUCUGACGUCGAAACUCUCGACGCUUCAGCCAAUGUACACUUUAUCAGGUGGUCAGAAAAGCAGAGUGGCAUUUGCCAAGAUCACAUUCAAGAAACCGCACUUGCUAUUGCUUGAUGAGCCCUCCAAUCAUCUUGUAAGCCAUAUUCUUCUUGUUAAUAAAUAAGAAGCAAAGGAUUUGCUAUAAACUAAUGUAAUAAUAAUGUGUCAGGAUCUGGAUGCUGUGGAAGCUUUGAUUCAAGGACUUGUCCUAUUCCAAGGCGGUAUUUGCAUGGUAACAACAACAAUAACUCGUGUAUCAAGUCCCUUGUCUUCUUAUUAGGGGCAAGAUUAAAAAACUAAUGUGUGUGUGUGUGUGGUUGUGGUGCAUAGGUGAGUCACGACGAGCAUCUGAUUUCGGGAAGCGUGGAUGAGCUGUGGGUUGUGUCAGACGGCAGGAUUGCACCAUUCCAUGGAACCUUCCAUGACUACAAGAAACUUCUCCAAUCUUCUUCUUAAGUUUUUUCUCUCUAAACCUCAGUUUCAUUCCUUGCUGGCCUUUUUCUCGUGUGGAUUUUGUUGAAAAUCAAAAAAUUGAAUUUUGAAAUCAGUUUAUACUUUAAAAGGAAAUUAUUAAUAGUAUCCAAAAACCUAAUAAUAAUGUGUGUUUAUG
rnacentral:lncRNA from 1 species